rnacentral:lncRNA from 13 species
GAUGUUGAAUGUGUUCACCGCUUCACGUCUCUAGCGGAUCACGUUGAUUCUAGUCACCCGUGUGAUGUUGAAUGUGUUCACCGCUUCACGUCUCUAGUGGAUCACGUUGAUUCUAUUCACCCGUGUGAUGUUGAAUGUGUUCACCGCUUCACGUCUCUAGCUGAUCACGUUGAUUCUACUCAACCGUGUGAUGCUGAAUGUGUUCACUGCUUCACGUCUCUAGCGAACCACGUUGAUUCUAUUCACCCGUGUGAUGUUGAAUGUGUUCACUGCUUCACGUCUCUAGCUGAUCACGUUGAUUCUACUCAACCGUGUGAUGCUGAAUGUGUUCACUGCUUCACGUCUCUAGCGAACCACGUUGAUUCUAUUCACCCGUGUGAUGUUGAAUGUGUUCACUGCUUCACGUCUCUAGCGGAUCACGUUGAUUCUAUUCACCCGUGUGAUGUUGAAUGUGUUCACCGCUUCACGUCUCUAGCGGAUCACGUUGAUUCUAUUCACCCGUGUGAUGUUGAAUGUGUUCACCGCUUCACGUCUCUAGCGGAAGCAUUCGGCCUUCUUGUGAGCAUAGCGCCACCUCAGAAGACAGAUGGCGAAUACGGCACCAGCUUUCCUGUGUCGGUGGCAGCUCAGAAACGAAAUUCCCAUGUGAAUUUAACCAGCACUGGGGAAACUACACCACACGGGCCGUCCCAGGGCCCUUGGAGGAAGCGCAGCUCGUGCUCAGCACCCGCCCGCGGUGUGUGUAGCUGCUGCUUCCUGCCAGGUAAGGGCUACGUGAGAAGCGCAGAUGCGGGAGCUCCCUGCUUCCUGAGGCUGCUUCGAAUAUGUAGUCACAGAGGCGCGAGGAAGGAGGGUCCUUCACCUCUGGAGACGUGUAUCGAUUAUGUGAGUGGCGGCCUCCGUUCCUGAGGGCCAGGAACAGCCCUUCCCCAUCUAGCACUUAGCAGUGUUUAAAAACUAUUAUUUUUGGAAAAAGGUGCCCCAUUUUACGUAGUUCUUAGCUUACUCUCUAAAGGCAAACAUGCUAACAUGUGACGGUGGGAAGGCCC